UAGGGGGCAAGCGUUAUCCGGAAUUACUGGGUGUAAAGGGAGCGUAGGCGGCACGUCAAGCCAGAUGUGAAAGCCCGGGGCUUAACCCCGUGGAUUGCAUUUGGAACUGGCGAGCUAGAGUACAGGAGAGGAAAGCGGAAUUCCUAGUGUAGCGGUGAAAUGCGUAGAUAUUAGGAAGAACACCAGUGGCGAAGGCGGCUUUCUGGACUGAAACUGACGCUGAGGCUCGAAAGCGUGGGGAGCAA
rnacentral:rRNA from 1 species